rnacentral:rRNA from 1 species
GACGAACGCUGGCGGCGUGCCUAAUACAUGCAAGUUGAGCGCUGAAGGUUGGUACUUGUACCGACUGGAUGAGCAGCGAACGGGUGAGUAACGCGUGGGGAAUCUGCCUUUGAGCGGGGGACAACAUUUGGAAACGAAUGCUAAUACCGCAUAAAAACUUUAAACACAAGUUUUAAGUUUGAAAGAUGCAAUUGCAUCACUCAAAGAUGAUCCCGCGUUGUAUUAGCUAGUUGGUGAGGUAAAGGCUCACCAAGGCGAUGAUACAUAGCCGACCUGAGAGGGUGAUCGGCCACAUUGGGACGGAGACACGGCCCAAACUCCUACGGGAGGCAGCAGUGGGGAAUCUUCGGCAAUGGACGAAAGUCUGACCGAGCAACGCCGCGUGAGUGAAGAAGGUUUUCGGAUCGUAAAACUCUGUUGGUAGAGAAGAACGUUGGUGAGAGUGGAAAGCUCAUCAAGUGACGGUAACUACCCAGAAAGGGACGGCUAACUACGUG